rnacentral:rRNA from 1 species
CCCUGCCAUUUGUACACACCGCCCGUCGCACCUACCGAUUGAAUGGUCCGGUGAAACUUUCGGAUCGUGGCUGGCACCGUCCCUGUGGCGGCUCAGCCGUGAAAAGUCAGUUAAACCUUAUCAUUUAGAGGAAGGUGAAGUCGUAACAAG